rnacentral:rRNA from 1 species
CAGUAGCCGCGGGAAUACAGAGGGUGCGAGCGUUAAUCGGAUUUACUGGGCGUAAAGCGUGUGUAGGUUGUUGUUCAAGUCAGUUGUGAAAUCCCUGGGCUCAACCUGGGAACUGCUUCUGAGACUGAACGACUAGAGUACGGUAGAGGGUGGUGGAAUUUCCUGUGUAGCGGUGAAAUGCGUGGAUAUAGGAAGGAACAUCAGUGGCGAAGGCGACCACCUGGACUGAUACUGACACUGAGGUGCGAAAGCGUGGGGAGCAAACAGGAUUAGAUACCCGUGUAGUCCCUGUCUCUUAUAC